CUAAAUGAAAAUUAUAUUAAAAAGAAAGAAAAGAUACAAGAUCUAGGGGCAUUCCCCGCGAUAAGGAAGCUAAUGUGGAAAAAGUCCCAAAACAGAAAGGAACUUUUCCACAAAAAGAUAGGAAAAAACAAUAAAAGCUUAACAGCCAAUCAUCACUAGAGAAUCACAACUAAUACAGAAUAUGGCUAAGAUGGGGUGAAUCACUUAAUUUCCUUCGAAAUAAGGGACAAGAGAAUAAUUUUUCUCUAUACAUUUGUUUAAUGAGCCUAUGAAGAUUGCCCACCGUCAUACUCCCAUUAUCAUGCACUCGGCUGUUACGUUCCCUCCAAACCAAAUAAAUAACCACUGUAAUGUAAAGGUAGGCCAGCUGCUUCUCAAAAACAGUGAGGUUAUCAAUAAAGAAAUUUCCCGAAAGCCAAUCAUUCCAGUAGAGAGUAAUAGCAAAUGGACAAGCACGUAGUAAUAAGUAAGUGUAAGGGCAGGAGGAGAAAAGAUGCUCCAC
rnacentral:lncRNA from 1 species